GCACCUCCCCGUGAGCAGAGGGAGCCGGCUCUGGCCUUGGCCAGCCCCAGAGAGGGGUCUCCACAGCGCAGCGGCGGGCUGAAGGGCUCCUCGAACAUCGCCAGAGCGGACGCCAAGGCCGAGGAGGCGACGAGAGCGAGCGAGAGCUGCUAGCACGUUGUUACCUCUCACUUAUAGUGCACAAAACUAAAAACUAAAAGCUGUGUGUAGGAAACGCAGUAGCCUUUAAUGUCCAUGUCAAAAGUCUUCCCUAUCAGCGGCUACUAAGUGGAAAAGAAAGUUGAAGGAAGGCAGCCUGGAUUCAUGUAGCUUCUUGCAGGUGGCUGAGAAAGUUUCAGAUGUGCCAAACUCAAAAUACCAAAAUUUAUUCUUCAUUCUGAAAAAGAAAAGGAAGAAGCACCUUAGACAACUAUCAAUAACAGAGGGAUCUUUUAAAAAAUGAACUAAUUAACAGAAUGAAAAUGGAAAAAGUAUAUAAGCAGUAGUGAUCCCACAUUGCAGUCAUACCAAAAAGGUACACAAAGAAAAAUAACUGAAGAUGAAGCAGCCAUCUUGCCUCCAUGAAGGAAAAGACAAGGUAAACCCAGAGAUGACCCAGAUGACGGACAGAGCUGAACUGGCUCAUCAGUAACCAUGAAAUAGUCUCUGAAUUUCUACUCAUGAGAGAUUUAUAAAUAGACUCAUUAUUUAUUUUGCAUAUUCUGUCACUUGCAGCCAAAGCACACUGAAAACAUAACCCAUUAUGUUUUAUAAGAGAAAUUUCACAUAUAUUAUUGAGAUACUAGAAAACAUAAAUGAAGUGAUAUAUUUUUCAUACAAUAUUAUUUUUCUAAAUAUGAAACUUGGUAGUGGCUGAAAUAAAGGAGGUAAAGUAAAGAA